CUGGGUUCAGACGUGUGCUCUUGAUGUGUGGAUGAACUGAUAUGUGUUUGUUUGACGCUCUGAAUGCUUCAGAUAGCUGCCGGUUAG